rnacentral:tRNA from 1 species
AAGUAAAAAGCGAAAGAUCGCACCCAGUUUCGGCCUGGACUUUGGUAUUAAAUUACCUUUACUUA